rnacentral:rRNA from 1 species
GGCCUAACACAUGCAAGUCGAACGGUAACAGAAAGCAGCUUGCUGCUUUGCUGACGAGUGGCGGACGGGUGAGUAAUGUCUGGGAAACUGCCCGAUGGAGGGGGAUAACUACUGGAAACGGUAGCUAAUACCGCAUAACGUCGCAAGACCAAAGAGGGGGACCUUCGGGCCUCUUGCCAUCGGAUGUGCCCAGAUGGGAUUAGCUAGUAGGUGGGGUAAAGGCUCACCUAGGCGACGAUCCCUAGCUGGUCUGAGAGGAUGACCAGCCACACUGGAACUGAGACACGGUCCAGACUCCUACGGGAGGCAGCAGUGGGGAAUAUUGCACAAUGGGCGCAAGCCUGAUGCAGCCAUGCCGCGUGUAUGAAGAAGGCCUUCGGGUUGUAAAGUACUUUCAGCGGGGAGGAAGGGAGUAAAGUUAAUACCUUUGCUCAUUGACGUUACCCGCAGAAGAAGCACCGGCUAACUCCGUGCCAGCAGCCGCGGUAAUACGGAGGGUACAAGCGUUAAUCGGAAUUACUGGGCGUAAAGCGCACGCAGGCGGUUUGUUAAGUCAGAUGUGAAAUCCCCGGGCUCAACCUGGGAACUGCAUCUGAUACUGGCAAGCUUGAGUCUCGUAGAGGGGGGUAGAAUUCCAGGUGUAGCGGUGAAAUGCGUAGAGAUCUGGAGGAAUACCGGUGGCGAAGGCGGCCCCCUGGACGAAGACUGACGCUCAGGUGCGAAAGCGUGGGGAGCAAACAGGAUUAGAUACCCUGGUAGUCCACGCCGUAAACGAUGUCGACUUGGAGGUUGUGCCCUUGAGGCGUGGCUUCCGGAGCUAACGCGUUAAGUCGACCGCCUGGGGAGUACGGCCGCAAGGUUAAAACUCAAAUGAAUUGACGGGGGCCCGCACAAGCGGUGGAGCAUGUGGUUUAAUUCGAUGCAACGCGAAGAACCUUACCUGGUCUUGACAUCCACGGAAGUUUUCAGAGAUGAGAAUGUGCCUUCGGGAACCGUGAGACAGGUGCUGCAUGGCUGUCGUCAGCUCGUGUUGUGAAAUGUUGGGUUAAGUCCCGCAACGAGCGCAACCCUUAUCCUUUGUUGCCAGCGGUCCGGCCGGGAACUCAAAGGAGACUGCCAGUGAUAAACUGGAGGAAGGUGGGGAUGACGUCAAGUCAUCAUGGCCCUUACGACCAGGGCUACACACGUGCUACAAUGGCGCAUACAAAGAGAAGCGACCUCGCGAGAGCAAGCGGACCUCAUAAAGUGCGUCGUAGUCCGGAUUGGAGUCUGCAACUCGACUCCAUGAAGUCGGAAUCGCUAGUAAUCGUGGAUCAGAAUGCCACGGUGAAUACGUUCCCGGGCCUUGUACACACCGCCCGUCACACCAUGGGAGUGGGUUGCAAAAGAAGUAGGUAGCUUAACCUUCGGGAGGGCGCUUACCACUUUGUGAUUCAUGACUGGGGUGAAGA